AAACGGAAGAUGCAUGGAAUCCCCCCUGAACAUGGAGACAGUGCAGUUACAUGCAUUAUCAAAGCUGGAUUAUUAGGUGCUACAUUUAAACUCAACCAUAAAUAUUUGCUUAUUUUUAAGGUAUACAGAGAUCCCUUGAAGAAAUAAAGAACAGCUUUUAAUUAGAGAAUUCUCUUUUAAUACAGUUACAAAGCUGUCAAACCAUGAUUCAGCAAAUAAUGCUAGAGAAUUAGUUAAUGCAAGACCUAAUGAUGGAAAUGUACCAGGUUCCAUGGCUAGGAGAAUGUCAGAA